rnacentral:piRNA from 1 species
UGCUUCUUGAAGUUUUAGAUU